UUCAACACUACUAUAUAACAAAUAAUUUGAGGAGAUGAUUUGAAGCGGUGCUACAAUCUACAGUGGUCGGUGGACAAGUGUGAUGGACACCAGAGCCAGAUGCUUUAGUUCACACUAUGACUGUGACUGAUGUACCUCUGCAACAAACUGACUGUCUUACUUGUAACCUGAUUGGAGGACGGUCUAGGGAAGGAUAUAGGAAUUAAGCUUACUUCACAGCUAUACUCUACAAAAGUACCUUCAGCGAAUAGGACGUCAACAUCCAUCUUGUUUAUAUCAAUGAUUGUGGACAUUACUUUUGUAUUCUUUGUAAUUUAAUUCUCUGACGUUGUAUUCUCUUAAUACAUUGCGUUUGCUAGAAUUCUUGUGUGUAAGCUUUAGAACUCUAGAUGUCAAACACAGAUUUACGGCCAAGUGUCAACCCGGGGUUUGAAGCACGUUAUACCAGUUUCAACUUUUAUCAGACUGAUCCAUCGAUUCAGCUAUGACAUUUUUAGUUCUGAUUAAACAAAUGGUUUUUAUUACAUUGUUAAUUACAUUAAAAUACAGUUUGAUGUUUAAAACGGGGCAUAUGAAAGUUUUUUAUCUUGUAAAACCUCGCCUAAUCGACGAAGUUACAGUCAGAUCGAAAAUUAGAAAUAGCUUAUUUUUAAAAGCAGCUGAAAGAUUCGUUGGAAUUUAUUACACUGACCAUGACAUAAGAUCCAAAUUCCAAACUGGGUGUUAGGGAAAUGCAGCGGACUAAAUGUUAUUUUACAUCUUCCCCGUCACUGAUCACUGUCACAUUUAAAGCUGCAAAUGGUGUAUUUGUUAUGCCAACUAACACCAGAACAAACAGAGAACUUGUUAAAGUUCAAAUUUAGCCCCGUAAAACUCAAUGUAUGUUAUGUAACGGCUAAUGUAAUGUUCUUACAGGAUCGUUGACAUAUUACGUAAUCACGUCCUGAACAACGUUUAAUUUGACCCCCCCCCC